UACGAAGGGGGCUAGCGUUGCUCGGAAUCACUGGGCGUAAAGGGUGCGUAGGCGGGUCUUUUAAGUCAGGGGUGAAAUCCUGGAGCUCAACUCCAGAACUGCCUUUGAUACUGAAGAUCUUGAGUUCGGGAGAGGUGAGUGGAACUGCGAGUGUAGAGGUGAAAUUCGUAGAUAUUCGCAAGAACACCAGUGGCGAAGGCGGCUCACUGGCCCGAUACUGACGCUGAGGCACGAAAGCGUGGGUAGCAAACAGG
rnacentral:rRNA from 1 species